UGUUGUUCUUCUUCUUAGGGAUUCUGACUUGUUCAUUGUAGAUACCAGCCUUGAUAUGGAUAAUGCACCUUCCAGGGUUUUU
rnacentral:sRNA from 1 species